GACGAACGCUGGCGGCGCGCUUAACACAUGCAAGUCGAGCGAGAACCAGUCCUUCGGGGCUGGGGAAAGCGGCGAACGGGUGAGUAACACGUGAGUAAUCCACCCUCGGUACCGGGAUAGCCCGGGGAAACCCGGAUUAAUACCGGAUGGCCCAUCCGCACUUUGGAGCGGCUGGGGAAGGUAGCUUCGGCCUCCGACCGAGGACGAGCCCGCGGCGGAUUAGCUUGUUGGUGGGGUAAUGGCCCACCAAGGCGACGAUCCGUAGCUGGGCUGAGAGGACGAUCAGCCACACUGGGACUGAGACACGGCCCAGACUCCUACGGGAGGCAGCAGUGGGGAAUCUUGCGCAAUGGGCGAAAGCCUGACGCAGCGACGCCGCGUGCGGGAAGAAGGCCUUCGGGUUGUAAACCGCUUUCAGGAGGGACGAAGCCACUCAGGUUAAUAGCCUAGAGGGUGACGGUACCUCCAGAAGAAGCCCCGGCUAACUACGUGCCAGCAGCCGCCGUAA
rnacentral:rRNA from 1 species